rnacentral:rRNA from 1 species
GUGCCAGCAGCCGCGGGUAAUACGAAAGGGGGCUAGCGUUACUCGGAAAUUACUGGGCGUAAAGGGCGCGUAGGCGGCGUUCCAAGUUAGGCGUGAAAGUCCUGGGCUCAACCUGGGAACUGCGCUUAAGACUGGAAUGCUUGAGGAUGGAAGAGGCUCGUGGAAUUCCCAGUGUAGAGGUGAAAUUCGUAGAUAUUGGGAAGAACACCGGUGGCGAAGGCGGCGAGCUGGUCCAUUACUGACGCUGAGGCGCGAUAGCGUGGGGAGCAAACAGGAUUAGAUACCCUGGUAGUCC